rnacentral:rRNA from 1 species
UACGGAGGAUGCGAGCGUUAUCCGGAUUUAUUGGGUUUAAAGGGUGCGCAGGCGGGACGCCAAGUCAGCGGUCAAAUUUCGGGGCUCAACCCCGACCUGCCGUUGAAACUGGAAGACUUGAGUGUGUUUGAGGUAGGCGGAAUGCGUGGUGUAGCGGUGAAAUGCAUAGAUAUCACGCAGAACCCCGAUUGCGAAGGCAGCGCACCGGCGCCCAACUGACGCUGAAGCACGAAAGCGUGGGGAUCGAA